AGAGUUGAUAUGGCUCAGAACGAACGCUGGCGGCGCGUUUAAGCAUGCAAGUCGAGCGGCAAGGGCCUUCGGGCCCCUAGAGCGGCGGACGGGUGAGUAACACGUGGACAAUCUGCCCCCCGGCCGGGAUAGCCCCAGGGAAACCUGGAUUAAUACCGGAUGAGACGGGACCCGCGAUGGCGGGACCCGGGAAAGGCGCUGCGGCGCCGCCGGGGGAUGAGUCUGCGUCCCAUUAGCUAGACGGCGGGGUAACGGCCCACCGUGGCGACGAUGGGUAGCCGGCCUGAGAGGGUGGACGGCCACAUUGGAACUGAGACACGGUCCAGACUCCUACGGGAGCAGCAGCUAAGAAUCUUCCGCAAUGGGCGAAAGCCUGACGGAGCGACGCCGCCGUGAACGAAGAAGGCCGUGAGGUUGUAAAGUUCUUUUCGGGAGGGGGAACAACCGUGGCAGGGAAUGGCCGCGGGAUGACGUGAAUCCCGGAAUAAGCCCCGGCUAACUACGUGCCAGCAGCUGC
rnacentral:rRNA from 1 species